AGAGCGAACGCUGGCGGCAGGCUUAACACAUGCAAGUCGAGCGGGCGUAGCAAUACGUCAGCGGCAGACGGGUGAGUAACGCGUGGGAACAUACCUUUUGGUUCGGAACAACACAGGGAAACUUGUGCUAAUACCGGAUAAGCCCUUACGGGGAAAGAUUUAUCGCCGAAAGAUUGGCCCGCGUCUGAUUAGCUAGUUGGUGAGGUAACGGCUCACCAAGGCGACGAUCAGUAGCUGGUCUGAGAGGAUGAUCAGCCACAUUGGGACUGAGACACGGCCCAAACUCCUACGGGAGGCAGCAGUGGGGAAUAUUGGACAAUGGGCGCAAGCCUGAUCCAGCCAUGCCGUGUGAGUGAUGAAGGCCCUAAGGGUUGUAAAGCUCUUUGUGCGGGAAGAUAAUGACGGUACCGCAAGAAUAAGCCCCGCUAACUUCGCGCCAGCAGCCGC
rnacentral:rRNA from 1 species